GUUUUCUUCUUGGUCACUUUGCAAGCUGGGGACCUCUGGCCAGCAAUGCCCUGCCAGGUCUCACUCGCCAGGCUACCUGCUGCAGGAGAUGGCCUUUACUUGCUGCAGGAGACGACCCACCCGCUCAGUCCAGUUGGCGGAGUCUAGCUUAUGCACUGGUUCCCGAGUUCUCGUCCCACGAGCCCAAGAAGAAUGAGGAUGCACUGGCAAUUGAAGAGUGAGCAAGGAGAUUUUACCCAGUGAGAACAUGUUUAGGACACUUUUCUACAGUGGAAGAAAAGCUUCUGUCUGCAGGUCCAAAGGCACCGUAAGUAGAGGGAGACCAGUCAAUAGCUGGGAAGCCAGGCAAAAGGCUAACAGGCAGAUCUCUGGUUUCUCUUCAUAACGAAUAAAUCUUUCGCCUUUUACUAAAGAUUUCCGUGGAGAAAAACAACUAUGAGUUUAUGGUUAAAUUUUUUGAAGUCUUGCCUAGGCAAGGCUGAAUGUUCUGUUACUAAAGAGAGACGUGUGGGUGGGGUGUUUCAUGCUUUGGGAGGUUGGGGUAGCUCCACAAAUGUCACCCAGGUUGUAGCGGAGUGGUGUGGUCGCGGCUCACUACAACCUCCAUCUCCCAUGCUCAAGCAAUCCUCCCACCUCAGCCUCAUAAGCCUGUCUAAUUUUGUGUACUUUUUGUAGUGCCCGGCCUACUGUCAUGUUUUUUUAGCUUCUUGUAAACAUUUAGGAAGCUAAAUGUUUAUAAGAUUUUUUUUUUUAAAAGAAAACCUAGUUUUUGACAGUCUGUAUCUAAUAAUUUGGCUGAAGUCUUGUGAGUCUUUCUAGUGUGCUAGUUCCAAUUUAUAGUGAUGACUUUGUGUGCAUGAUUAUCUUAUACUUUGGACUGGUCUCAUAUUUGAAAAAUUAAGUGUAGGAAAAACUUAAGAGUUAGGAUGAUGAUACUUUCUUCCAGAGAUAGUUUUCUUUUGUUUUUAUCAGGUACCUGGGGACACAAACAAUUCUGGACUACCUUUGUCCACAUUCAACACUUGAGGUUCUCUGGACCACCUGGUAGUUAUAUAAUCCAUACAAGACCACCUGAGGGCCGGCUUACUUUUGGCCCACCUUGACCUUGAGGGUACUGUCUUCUGGGGUCCAACUUAAAGUAUGUAUGCUAGAGGUAUCAGACUUCCCACCGAGAGCAGAAUCUCAGUGCCUUCUCUUUCUUUUGCCCUUUUUUUGUUUUGUUUUGUUUUGAGAUGGAGUUUCACUCUGUCACCCAGGCUGGAGUACAGUGGUACGAUCUCGGCUCACUGCAGCUUCCACCUCCUGGGUUCAAGGGAUUCUCCUGCCUCAGCCUCCCGAGUAGCUGGGAUUACAGGUGCGCACCACCACGCCUGGCUAAUUUUUGUAUUUUUUAGUAGAGACAGGGUUUCACUAUGUUGGCCAGGCUGGUCUUGAACUCCUGACCUCAAGUGAUCCACCUGCCUUGGCCUCCGAAAGUGCUGGGAUUACAGGUGUGAGCCACCACGCCCGGCCUGAGAAGUCUUCUUUAUCUGGCUAUUGCUACUCAUU
rnacentral:lncRNA from 10 species